GUAGUUGUGGCCAUGUGGUUAAGGUGAUAGACUAGAAAUCUAUUGGGGUCUACCUGUGUAGGUUCAAAUCUUACCAGCUACA